UGGUGGAGUGAUUUGUCUGGUUAAUUCCGUUAACGAACGAGACGACCGUCUACUAAAUAGUUCUAUAAAUAUUUCGAUAUUUAUUCAGUUUAACUUCUUAGAGAGACUAUCGGUGUGUAGCCGAUGGAAGUUGGUCGCAAUAACA
rnacentral:rRNA from 1 species